rfam:Mogibacterium sp. CM50 ctg120007703393, whole genome shotgun sequence.
GAGAAUUGCCCUUGCCACACUGAAUUAACAUUGAUGAUGGCAUAUCAAAGCCGGAAAUGGUGUGCGAGAUGAUACUUCACUAUGCAGAAAUGUCUGUACAACAUUUCAUGUAUAAAGCGUGAUAAAGUCGUAACUUGAAUACCUAAGUUCAUGAAAAUGAAUAUGGGAUAAAUAGUGCGGUCUUCCGAAAA